UUCAGAUUGGGCAAAUUUACCUCAGAAUCUUUUAGAUUCAGUUUUAGAGAGACUAACGUUACUAUCAAACUAUUUGCGAUUCAACAUUGUUUGUGCAUCAUGGCAUUCUGUAGCAAAGCAUAAUAAAAAUCGAUGUGCUAAGACGACAACACCAAUGCUCUUGCUUCAGACCAGAAAAAAAGGUACAUGGAGUUUGUACAACGUCGAGGAAGACAAGGUCCUAAAUUUGCAACUAAAAAUCCCGAAUAAGCGAUUUUGUGGUUCUUCAAAAGAAUUGUUAAUAUUUGUGGAUAAGGAUCUUGUAGUAACCCUAGUAAAUCCAUUCUUUAGGGUUAAAGGGAGGAUAAAGAAGGAAAAUUCGAUCAUUUGCCUUCCUCCACUAAACCCUCAACCUAUGAGUCGCGCAUGGUUUUCAAAAACCAACUAUUUCGUUUUCAAAGCUACAAUUUCAGCAGACCCAAAUAUUAAAUGCAAAUGAUUACAUUGUUGUGGUCAUAUAUGAGGAGUAGUGUCGGUUGGCUUUUAUUAGACCUGGCAAAGACACGACAUGGACUUAUGUUGAUCAAAGGUGGAGCUUAAUUGAAGAAGUUGUUCCAAUUAGAGAUAAAUUUUAUGCUGUUGAUAGGUGGGGAAAUCUAUUAUCUUUUGACGGUGUUGAUCAAUUCAAAUGCAAUGUGGAGUCGAAGGCUAACAAUACGGAACAAACGUCUGAGAAGAAAUAUCUCGUGGCUUUAAAUGAGAAAGACUUUCUGAUGGUUGAGAGGUAUACUACAUGGGACGAUGACUCUAAACGCGAGACAAUGGAAUUCAAAGUUUUCGAAUUCAGUUUCGUCAAGUGUGACUGGAUUGAGACAAAUAAUUUGGGUGAUGUUUCUAUUUUUGUGGGUGAUAAUUCCUCAAUAUAUGUGGUGGCCACCGAAUUGUAUAUACUUCACGUAUGAUUAUUAUCGUAUAAGAAUGGAUUUCAAGCCUUGAGGGCCUAAUGAUAUCGGUGUAUACAACAUCAAAACUCGGAGCAUUUCACAACCUUUCACGAAAGAUGCUAUGACCAUGAUGAAGUUGAUGAAUCGAUCCCCAAUUUGGAUUGUGCCAACUUUUUAA
rnacentral:lncRNA from 1 species